AUACAAGGCUUCGGCCAAGUUGAAGGGAUGACUUAGUGGCGGACGGGUGAGUAACGCGUGAGGAACCUGCCUUUCAUGGGGGACAACAGUUGGAAACGACUGCUAAUACCGCAUAAUGUGCCUUGGGGGCAUCCCCGGGGUACCAAAGCUUUAUGUGCUGAAAGAUGGCCUCGCGUCUGAUUAGAUAGUUGGUGGGGUAACGGCCCACCAAGUCGACGAUCAGUAGCCGGACUGAGAGGUUGAACGGCCACAUUGGGACUGAGAUACGGCCCAGACUCC
rnacentral:rRNA from 1 species